rnacentral:rRNA from 1 species
UACGUAGGGUGCAAGCGUUGUCCGGAAUUAUUGGGCGUAAAGAGCUCGUAGGUGGCCUGUCGCGUCGGCUGUGAAAACUCGGGGCUCAACUCCGAGCUUGCAGUCGAUACGGGCAGGCUAGAGUUCGGCAGGGGAGACUGGAAUUCCUGGUGUAGAGGUGAAAUUCGUAGAUAUCGGGAGGAACACCGGUGGCGAAGGCGGCGAUCUGGGUCGAUACUGACGCUGAGGUGCGAAAGCGUGGGGAGCAAACAGG